AACAAAUGAAACUUGCAUAGUUUUAGGAGGGACUUUAGAGUUCAUCUAAUCUUAUCCCCACAUUUUACAGAUUGGGAAACAAUAAUUAGGAAACAGGAGGCUAGGAGAAGUUGUGACUUAACCAUGGUUGCCCAGAGAAUAAGAAGCAGAGGCAGAAUUUGAAUCCAGGUCCCCUAACCCCAAAUCCAGUACUCUUUCCACAGUUGCCUCUGGGAAAUACCAAGUCUUCACUUUGUUUAGAGAACAGAGAUCCUGAAGAGAAAGAUGGAAGGUGAUUUGAGAAGGUGGUUAGAGAGGGAUCAUGGGAGUGCCUUGAAAGCCAGGCUGAGGAGAUCUGUGCCAAGGAACUAACUCAGUCUCAACAAGACCUUUGUGUGGAGAGAAGCCUUCCUGGGAGUCAGAAGAUCAGUAUUUGGGGUCUGCUUAUGCCACUGACUUAUCAGCCCUCCCCCUAUGAGGGGGGAUGGAUUUACCCUGUUGCCUGGAGACUGGACUCAAACAGAGACCCAGAGAGAGCAUCCGGGCACUGUAUCUGGAGGGGUUAAGAACGAGUCCUGGAGCGGAUAAUGGAGCAGUAACCCCAGCAAAAUGAACCUCAGCUCAAGCUGGAGGGAGACGACAGGAAGAAGGCAGCGUCUUCGGACCCCCUCCCCAGGCAGGACUUACCUUCUGCCCCAGCGCUCAGGCUUCCUCCUGCUGGAUUAAUAU
rnacentral:lncRNA from 1 species